AUGUUCAGUGGACUAAAGAGAAGUAUGAGGACAGUGUCUCACCCAAUAGAAAAUAUCAUAGAGGGAGAAAUUACUAAAAAAAAAAAAAAAGAACCAAAUAGAAAUUCUGGAGUUGAAAACUACAAUAAUUAAAAUUUAAAAAUUCAUUAGAAAUGCUUAACAGUAGAUUUGAGCAGGGAAAACAGCCAAUGAACUCAAAGAUGUAUCAAUUGAGAUUAUGCAUUCUGAGAAACAGAGCAGAGAGAAUGAAGAAAAAUAAAGACAGCCUCAAAAACCUCACAGAGGCCACUAACAUGUACAUAACGCAAGUCUCAGAACGAGGGAAGAAAUGGAAAGGGGCAGAGAGAACAUGUGAAGAAAUAAUGGCAGAAACCUUCCCAAACAGAAUGAAGACAUUAAUCUAUACAUCCAAGGAGCUCAUCAAAUUCCAAGUAAGAUAAACUCAAAGAGAUUCACACACCGAUACACACCCUGCAGAAAGACAGAGAACCGUGACAGCAGGAAGGUAGCAGUGACUCAUCACACAGAAGGACUCUGCCUAAGGUAACAGCUGGUUUCUCAUCAGAAACCAUGGAGACAGAAGGCAGUGGGAGGACAUUUCCAAACUGCUGAUAGAAAAACCCUGGUCAACCAAGAAUUCUAUAUACCACAAAACUAUCCUUUAAAAUGAAGGAGAGAUAAACAAACACCAAGAGAGUUUGUUGCUAGCAGACCGGCCCUACAAGAAAUACUAGAGUUCUUUGGACUAAAAUGCAAGGAUUUUAGAUGCAACUCAAAUACACACAACGGCAUAAAAACACCAGUAAAGGUAGCUACAUAGAUAAAUAUAAAAGACUAUAAGAGCAUGUUUUUAACUCUUUUUUUCCUAUCUGGUUUAAAAGAAAAUAGCAUAAACAAUUAUAAAUCUGUGGUGAUGGAAGAUGUAAAUCCUACCUCAUCAGGAAUUACAUAAAAUAUGAAUGGAUUAAACACUCUAGUCAAAAGGCAGAGAUCAGCAGAAUAGACAAAAAUAACAUGAUCCAACUCUGUGCUGUUUGCAAGAGAUAUACUUUAUAUCCAAAGACACAAGUAAGCUGAAACUAAAAGGACAGAAAAAGGUACACCAUGGAAACAGUAACCAAAAAAGCAGUGGAGUGGUUACACUACUAUCAGACAAAAUAGGGUGUAAGAUAAAGUUGUUACUAGAUGCAAAGUAGGAUACUUUAUAAUGAUAGAAGUGUCAAUCUAUCAAGAAGAUAUAAAUAAUAUGCACCAAAAACAAGAGAAUAAAUUAAAGGAAGCAGUAGCUGAUAGAACUGAAGAGAAAAAAGUUAACAAUAAUAGUCAGAGAUUACAACUCCCCACUUUCAAUAAUGGAUAGAACAACUGGACAAAAGAUUGAUAAAGAAAUAAUAGACCUGAACAAUACUAUAAGCCAACCAGACUUACCCAACAUCUAUGGAACACUGCACCCAACAAUGGCCGGACAGACAUUCUUCUCAAGUGAACAUGGAACAUUCUCCAGUACAUACAAUAUGUUUGGCCAUAGAUUUCAAUAAAGUCUCAAUACAUUUAAAAGGAUUAAAAUCAUAAAGAGUAUGUUUUCUGAUCACAACGGAAUGAAACUAGACAUCAGUAUCAGAAGGAAAUCUGGGGAUUCACAAACAUGUGGAAACUAAUCGACACUCACCUAAAUAAUCAACCAAAGAAGAAAUCAUAAGGGAAAUUAGGAAAUACUUUGAGAAGAAUGAAAACAAAAACACAACAUACUAAAACUUAUGGGAUAUUCCUGAGGAACCGUUUUCCAGAGUGGCUGCAAUACUUUCCAUUCUCACCAGUGAAAUAUUAAGUUUCCAGUUUCCCCACAUCUUCGUCAACACUUGUUAUUACCUGGCUUUUUUUUUAUACCCACCUAGAGGAUGGGAGUGGUAUUUCAUUGUGGAUUUGAUUUGCAUUUCUCUGAUGACUAAUGAUGUUGAGUAUGUCUCCAGGUGCUUAUUGGUCAUUUGUAUGUCUUCUUUGGAGAAAUUCUAUUCAGAUCCUUUGCUCAUUCUUUAAUUAGGUUAUUUGUCUUUUUAUUGUUGCGUUACAAGAGCACUUUACAUAUUUGGUCACUAGACCCUUAUCAGAUAUAUAAUUUGAAAAUCUUUUCUUCCAUUCUGUAGGUUAUCUUUUCACUUUCUUGGCAUUGUCCUUUGAACCACAAAAGUUUCUUUAUUAGAAUCUCUCCGACGAUAUCAAGGUUGGUGGGGAUGCAGAGCAACUGGAACUCUCAUACGUUGCUGGUGGGAAUGUAAGAUGGUUCAGCCCAGUUGGAAAAUGGCUCAGCAGGUUCUAAUUACCUUAAACGCCCACUCACCAUGUGACCCAGCAGGCCCACUCCUGGGUAUUUAUCCAAGUGAAAUGAAAACAUACAUUUUACAUAAGGACCUAUACACUAAUGUUUACAGUAGCUCUACUCAUAAUUGCCAAAUAGUAGAAACCACCCAGAUGGUCUCCAUCUGGGGAACGGGUAACAAAGUGUGAUUUCACAUACAAGGGAGCCCUAAAGAGCACAAAUGGACCAGACAACGUGAAUGGAUCUCAAGAGCUUCGAGGGGAUGAAAGCAGUCAGUCUCAAAAGGUUGCAUGUUGUACUAUUCCCUUCACUCAGAAAAAGGGAAAGCGAUGGGGAUGGAGGAUAGAUCAAUACCUGCCAGGGAGGAAGGGUGAGGUGAGGUUGUGACCUCAAAGCUGUAGCUCAAGACAAUUUUGAGGGUGAUGAAGCCUUUCUGUAUCUUGAUUGUGGCUGUGACUCCAAGGGCUCCAGACAUUGGUCAAGACGCACAUAUCUUUAUGCCCAGAAGAGUGAGUUUUACCAAAUGUACGUUAAAAAUAAAUUUUUUAAAAAACUAAGGAAGAGAAAAUAUUCGGAGAUGAACAGUGACCUAGCGAUCAACAAAUUGUUCAAACACUUAAUUAUUUUUCUUAGGCUAUCUCACUCAUUAAGAUGUUAUCUCUUCGAUGGCAGUAAUCAGCUGUUAUUAAUCUGCGAGGGCCUGAAUCUAAUGUACUGGCUGCCCCAAGCAGGUACCAGUGUGCUGAAUGAACUUUAUUGUUCUUCUUGAUUAGUUUUGACCCCCACGGUUUCUUAAUGGCUGCAGUGAUUAUAUUUGAUCUCAUGAUGAACCUAUACAUGUAAGGAAGUUGGUGCGCAUUUUUAACUGGAGAUAAUAGUGUCGAUGUGGUUUGUACUUAUUCUAUUGUGUCGUCAGAGUCUCUUUCCAUUGAUUCAUGUUGUUGUUGUUAUUAUUACAUACAAUAUCAUGAGGUUACUUUUCUAGAUGUGAUGCUAUCUUUAUGGAAUCUGUUAUGAUUUGGACUAUACUACUUUUCAUUGCUGUCUGAGUUAUACGGUGUCUGUAAGCUCUCAUGGUCCCUUUGUUUUGCCAGCACUAAGUAGAUCCUGCAUGAGAACCAUUUUCAUGUUGCCAUUGCAAUAAGCUGCCUUUCACAGACGUAGGAACUGCUGUGCUUGGAGACACUUUAUAGAUAUUAGCAUGAACAUGUAACAGCAUGUAUCUUCGCCAACGUCAGUGAUCAUAGGACACACUUUAUAGAUAUUAGCCUGAACAUGUAACAGCAUGUAUCUUCGCCAACAUCAGUGAUCAUAGGAGACACUUUAUAGAUACUAGCAUGAACAUGUAACAGCAUGUCUCUUCACCAACGUCAGUGAUCAUAGCACACUGGCUGUCUCUCAUUGGCUGAAGCAUUUUGUUCCCCAAUCUCCAACUCUCUGGACAGAAGAACUUAUGUAGGGCUGCCUCUGAGUGCCAGGUGGUAGCAGGGCAGCAUCACCUGUCUCCGGGCGUCAGUGAGAGUCUCACGAUGGGGAACCGGUGCUGCUGGAUCAUCUCUGCGACGGCUGAACAUCCGUGUUCCCCUAAAAUGUGUAGAGUGCAGCUCUAAACUCCAGACGGUAUCUGGAGGCUUUGAGAGGUGAUCAGGUUUAGAUGAGGUCGUGAGAGUGAUGCCCCCAUGACGAGAUUUGUGCCCUUAGAAGAGAAAGAAGAUCUCUCUCUGCACACACUGGAGAGAAGGCUGUGAGGGACACAGCGAGAAGGUGGUGUCUGCAAGCCCGGAAGAGGUUCUCACCAGGAACUGAAUGUACUGGCCCCUUGAUCUUGGACUCCCAGCCUCCAGAACUCCUUCUUACUGGCAAGUGACUGAAACAGUUUACCGGGCGCAGAAGUGGCAGAAAGACUCCCCACUGAGCACACACGAUCUUCACCUGCACAUCUGCCAGACUGAGGAGGCCUCUCCAGGCUGACUUGAGUCCUCUCCAGGAGGCAGGAGGCUGCCAGGGUUCCAGAGAGCCGCCUUCUUCAGGGCAUCCAGACAAGUCGCUUCCAGACCCUCUUACAACGUGGAAGAUUGCCAUUUUGUCUGCGCCUCCUGGCAUCCAAGGAAACCUGCAAGACUGCUGUCGUCAGCGGGACAAUUCCGAAGGGCACCUUUCAAAUGAGUUCAUAUCUGAGGACUGGUGGACAUGAUGAGCUCGUGGGCGACGCUAGGAAACGAGCUGCAGCAGCUCUUCUCCGUGUCUCAAGGACGGCUCAGCGGACACGGUGGAUUUAAGGCAUAUGGACAUGGCGGAAGCAAACCUUCAUCCUCAAACCGAGAGGCAGGCAGAGUUACACUAGCUUGACCGUAGACCGUAUUAAAUCCAACGAAGUGUGUUACCACAGCUCGGGUGACUGGAUUCUUUAUCUUUCCAAUGUUUUUCCUCAAGGAAAAGCGUGACAGCAGAUCUGGACAUUUGUGACGGGCAUAUCCCCCGAUUUUCCAUUUCCUGACGCUCACACACCUCUGCAUUCCCAAGAGCAAGCGGUAAAUUGGGUAUGGCCCAAACUGAGAUCACUCAUUCGAGCUCCCGCUGUGUGGGCACGGGACCAAAGUCGCUUACGAAAGUGCCGUCUGGUAGAAAGCCCCCACUUUCCUGGAGCCGCCUCUUCACCUUCAUCGCCAGCGCUAGCGGGUGGCAUCCUUCCUGGGACGGCGUUAGUCAGCGAUGCUCCCGGAGAUGGGGGUGGAGGGGCCUCACCCCCAUGCUUUCUUUUGGGCCUUAUAAUGCUUGAGAUUCAAACUAGCGCCUGAAUAAUAGCAAAACCGGAUCUCUGCAGCCUUGCCCGUUAUCCAGAACUGUUGUGCUCGCCUCUAAGAAGGACCCUCAAAGCACAAACUUGCCCACGUGGAGUUUGCUCAGUUCGUCCCUGGAGUCCCCAGGAUUAAGUGAGCCCUGAGCGAAUCUCUACUACUCGGGGUAUCGAGCCUGCCUGCCCUUCCUCUAGACAGUGUCUUGCGUUCUCUCCUCUUAUUUUACACGUUGUCUAAGACACUGAGUUACUCAGUGUCUCAGAAACAGAAGCACCCUUGGGAGCCUUCCUUCCUGCAUCAGCUCCUGGUCCCCAGUGAAUC